AGGAGUAACUCCCCAAACCAUAACAUCUAUGCAAGGGCACAUUAGAGAAGGAUAUCAAGGGUGGAGGAGACUAAGAUAGAGGGCGUGCAGAGGAGACUAAGAUAGAGGGCACACUGUGAGCAAGCAUGAGAAUGGUGAGUGGUAGUUCCACUAAUCCCACCUAGAAUUUUUUCAUUGAGAUAUGGUUUCUCCAAGUUGCCUCUAUUUGUUUUUCCCCUUGUCUACCAAAAAAAAACAGGUUUUGACUGUGUGGAUCUUGGAAAGGUCAAGUUCAAUCUCAUUCAGCCCCCCUCUCUACCCUGGAUGCAAGAAAAAAAAUAGAGCAUACACAUGUAUGUCAUCCAAAAAGGACCCUACAACCUUCUCCUCCUCACUAUUCUCACGAUCCAGGUCUGUCCACAUAGGAGUUGUCUACAUAGGCAUUGUUUACAUAGGCGUUGUCUACAACAUUCCAUUUUGGCCCACUGGAUCUUGGAAAAUGAGGCAUCACAAAAAAUAUGGAGGUUGUCCAUAGCGUUCUCUAUAGAAUCAAAAAAAAUCUAGAAGCAUUCCAUCGUGUUCUUCAUAAAAUUUGGGUCCUUAUGAAUAAUAUGAAAGAGUUGUAUGUAGAAUGUUGAUUAAACAACUAUCUAGCUCCAUGUUCUGGGAGGGGAAUGCCUUUUAUAAGAUCUUAACCAACCCCACGAUAAAUGAGAUAAUCUAGGGCCUUUACUGCCAUUUUAAAAAAGACUUUGUUGGAUGCACCCAAAAUGUCCCAUAUCCUAUGAUUCACACUUGUUGAUAGGCAGGACGACUGAGGCUUUGUAGAGUGUCUCAGAAGUUUAGAGGAAAAAUUUCCUAAAGUCCAUGGCCUUGAUCAUGCCUAUAUUUGGAGGUCAUUCGAUCAUGUCAUAAGAUUUCCCAAAAAUCAAUAUCAAUGAAGAGGGUGUUGAAAUCAAGGAAACAUUUGAGGGCAUUCCAUAACUUUUUCCCCUUCAAGCAAUAUCACAGACAACAUGCACUCCUUUUCCUCCUCUGCAUCAAUCAUGUGAAAAUCCUUACAAACUAACGAAUGGAUUUCCAAUGAUUUUUCAAUAAUCCAUUUCUAUAAAAGGGCAAAUUCAUCAUUAGACACAUAAAAGUUGGAUAAACCCAACAACCUUCCAUCCAGAGUCAAUAAAAUUGAAACCCAUUUUUGAGAUUUGUCGGUGCCUCAUCCUAUAAAUGGAGACACCAUUAGGAAAUCUAGAGACGUUGUCAUGGGCCCCUGGAAGAGUCAUAUUUUCUUUUUAACAGCUUGUCCACCCUGAAAUCGGCUCAAUCGGAGAUAGGGUCCAACAACUGGAAGAGCAUCGCACAUAUUGCGAUGUUCGGUGCGCCCUCGGUGGCCCUUGAAAAUCUGGAGGACCGAGUACCUUCCAUGCCCAGUCAUACUCAUAACUGCAUCAGGUCUCCAAGGUGAACAACUUUUGGUUAAUAGAAAAAUGUAGGUAAGGGAAGUCAUCAAAAUGGAUCCAUAACUUCGGGAAAAGGAUUGGCUUUGAGGGCUGGGCCUAGGGGUCUAUGUCCUCAACCCAUGGGUUGCCGACAGUCUACUCGAUCUGUUAUCAUGGAGAAGGCAGGUAGUCACGUGUCGAUUGGGCUACAGACGUAGGAUGUCCCCUCACAGGGGAUUUUCCCUAGGCGGUGAACAGUCGACUCAAAAAUGGUACAAACAAGGGGAAUCUGACUAUUUAAUUAAAACAAAGCAUUUUGAUAGUCCCUGUGGAUGCUGAUGGAAUGUGAUUUCUACCUAGUACUAUGAAUUUCAAAGUGAAUAAAUUCAACCAAGCGCGGGUAAAUAGAUAGAUACUUCAAUCCUUAGAAUCAUUCAGUUUGCAGCGAGGAUCAAGCUCAGGAAGGAUAGAGACUUGGAGAAGU
rfam:Picea glauca, whole genome shotgun sequence.